UGUAGACAUUAUUUUAUUUUAAUGCAAUCAUAGUCAAGUUAUUGUUUGGUUUUUCGAUAAUACACAUAUUUGAUUCGAAUCUAACGAUAUAACCUUUAUCGCAUAGUUGACUAAUACUAAAGAGAUUAUGUUUCAAUCCAUCAACUAGUAAAACAUCAUCAAUGGAAAAACUAAAUUUGUUACCAAUAGUUCCCUUGCCAAUGAUUUUGCCUUUGUUGUUGU
rnacentral:lncRNA from 1 species